UACGUAGGGUGCAAGCGUUUAAUCGGAAUUACUGGGCGUAAAGCGCACGUAGGCGGGUCGUUUAAGUCGGGGGUGAAAUCCUGGAGCUCAACUCCAGAACUGCCUUCGAUACUGGCGACCUAGAGUCCGGAAGAGGUGAGUGGAACUCCUAGUGUAGAGGUGGAAUUCGUAGAUAUUAGGAAGAACACCAGUGGCGAAAGGCGGCUCACUGGUCCGGUACUGACGCUGAGGUGCGAAAGCGUGGGGAGCAAACAGG
rnacentral:rRNA from 1 species